UUAAGUGGAAAAGUGAACGUUUGUUUGAGCUGCUUCAUAUGUCCAGUUAUAGACUCUACAGGGUCAGAAAUAUGAAUAUAUAAAAAGCUAAAGAGAGAAUAGCUCUAGUGUGGUAUCGUUUACAAAAUAGCCCUAACUCUGGGAAUUGCUAUUAUAUGCAUUAGAGUAAAUACUAAUAGAGAUAAACAGUAUGGUGACUGUCCCGAGGUGUGAGGUAAGAUUAAUGUUAAUCCCCGAGCUUCAUGAAGUGAAAUCUGCUAAAAGUGAGGAACAGCCCUGGGCAGUAUGAAUAUAUAUUGAUCUUGCGAUAAAAUUCCCUAUGCUGUGGCAUUGUGGGAGGCUGUGGAUCAGGUGGUAGAGCGGGUUGUCCACUAACCGCAGGGUUGGCGGUUUGAUUCACCGCCCAUUUGACUCCAUACGCCUAAGUGUCCUUGGGCAAGACACUGAACCCCAAGUUCCUCCUAAUGUCAAGUUAGCACCUUGCGUGGCAACUCUGCUACCAUUGGUGUGUGUGUGUGUGUGAAUGGGUGAAUGAGAACCAGUGUAAAGCGCUUUAGAACCAUAGGGGUUAAGAAAGUGCAGACCAUUUCCCAUGCUUUUCUGUGAUAUAAUGGAUAUUCUGAUAUCCUUGGGUUAAAAAAAAAAUAAUUACAAAUUGUUAAAAGUUUUUAAAAUUAGAAGUGAAUAGAAGUAGUUAGAAGUUAGUAGUAGUUAGAAGUAGAAGUGGUUAGAAGUGAAUAGAAGUAGAAGUAGUUAGAAGUAGAAGUGAAUAGCAGUAGUUAGAAUUAGAAGUAGUUAGAAGUGAAUAGAAGUAGGUAGAAGGGAAUAGAAGUGGUUAGAAGUAGAAGUGAGUAGAAGUAGUUAGAAGUAGAAGUGAGUAGUUAGUAGAAGUGAGUAGAAGUAGUUAGUAGAAGUGAGUAGAAGUAGAAGUAGAAGUGAGUAGAAGUAGUUAGAAGUAGAAGUGAGUAGUUAGUAGAAGUGAGUAGAAGUAGUUAGUAGAAGUGAGUAGAAGUAGUUAGUAGAAGUGAGUAGAAGUAGAAGUAGAAGUGAGUAGAAGUAGUUAGAAGUAGAAGUGAGUAGUUAGUAGAAGUGAGUAGUUAGAAGAAGUGAGUAGAAGUGAAUAGAAGUAGAAGUGAGUACUUAGUAGAAGUGAGUGGAAGUAGAAGUAGUUAGUAGAAGUGAGUAGAAGUGAAUAGAAGUAGAAGUGAGUAGAAGUAGAAGUACUUAGUAGAAGUGAGUAGAAGUAGAAGUAGUUAGUAGAAGUGAUUAGA
ensembl:lncRNA